rnacentral:ncRNA from 1 species
UGGAAAUAUGAAAUGAGAGCAGGGCAGCGCUCCCAUUGGUUAGGAUGGAAGAAGUCCUAAUGGACUUUUAACCAUGCUUAAGACUAUCACUUACCUUGUGGCAUCUACUGUAUAU